rnacentral:lncRNA from 1 species
GCAAAGGUAGCCCUCUGAAGCUUCUGAAAAGAGCUAGAAACGAAUACCAAAGUAACUUCUAGGCCUUCACAGGCAUAACUAUGCAACACAUUCUCUUUCCUAUCUUAAAUUAUACCCAAUGUCCAACUUAGUUCACCAUGAAGGUUAUACACUGAGCACCAAAUGGCACAAGAAAUCAAAUAAUAUAAUGCCAGCCUUGUAAAAAUGCCUCAGAAUUAGACAAUACAAGCUCCGUCCCUGAAAUAAGGAAGUCAGAGUCUAGAAUAUAAAAAGCAUGGUGAGAGGGAAUAGUAGCAGGGGGACAUUCAUCUGAGAAAAGGUGAAUUUAAGGGAUAUCUCAGUGAGCACGGCCUCUUUAAGAAAUAUUUAAGAUGCAAGGAUGGCAGAGAUUCCCAGUAGAUGAUUUCAGGGAAGAGCAGUCAAUUAAACAAUUCCAGGGGCUUGGCAUCAUUCUGCAUCCUAUAAACACUGUCAAUGUUCCCCUAUGUGGUAACAAUCUGUGCUGAAAAAUCUAAAGCAAUUACUUUUGUCCUCUUAGCAUUUGAACACUUACUUCAAUCAGAUGAAAAGGUUAAAACAAGGGCUGAAUAUGCCCCUUUGUCACCACGAGGGCAGUGUUGUACUUGAAGGAAGCAUUCAUGAACUCAAUUCAUUCAAGCCUUUUUGGGGACAGGUGACAGAGAUGGUCAAUUGGGAUACUCAAAAACAGUAAUUGCCCAAAGAACUGGGGACAGGAACAUUUGCAAUCAAUAUCCCUUGAAAAAUAAAGUGCAGCUCAUUGCG